rnacentral:snRNA from 3 species
GUGCUCACUUCAGCAGCACAUAUACUAAAAUUGGAACAAUACAGAAAAGAUUAGCAUGGCAUGGAUGACGUGCAAAUUCAUAAAGAGUUUCACAUUUUU